rnacentral:rRNA from 1 species
CAGGAUUAGAUACCCUGGUAGUCCACGCCGUAAACGGUGGGCGCUAGUUGUGCGAACCUUCCACGGUUUGUGCGACGCAGCUAACGCAUUAAGCGCCCCGCCUGGGGAGUACGAUCGCAAGAUUAAAACUCAAAGGAAUUGACGGGGCCCCGCACAGGCAGCGGAGCAUGCGGCUUAAUUCGACGCAACGCGAAGAACCUUACCAAGGCUUGACAUAUACAGGAAUACGGCAGAGAUGUCGUAGCCGCAAGGUCUGUAUACAGGUGGUGCAUGGUUGUCGUCAGCUCGUGUCGUGAGAUGCUGGGUUAAGUCCCGCAACGAGCGCAACCCUCGUUCUGUGUUGCCAGCAUUUAGUUGGGGACUCACAGGAGACUGCCGGGGUUAACUCGGAGGAAGGUGGGGAUGACGUCAAAUCAUCAUGCCCCUUAUGUCUUGGGCUGCACGCAUGCUACAAUGGCUGGUACAAACGGCUGCAAUACCGCAAGGUGGAGCGAAUCCGAGAAAGCCAGUCUCAGUUCGGAUUGGGGUCUGCAACUCGACCCCAUGAAGUCGGAGUUGCUAGUAAUCGUAGAUCAGCAACGCUACGGUGAAUACGUUCCCGGGGCUUGUACACACCGCCCGUCACAUCACGAAAGUCGGUAACACCACAAAGUCAGUGGCCCAACCGCAAGGAGG